GAUAACAAAAAACAUGGCGGCUAUUUGUUAGUAGGUCCCGCUUCAAGAUUUCAAAAUCAUCAAACAUUCCAGAAAUGCAACAACUGUAAAAACUUUCAACGCUGUUUUGUUCAUAUGGAUGGGAACAAACACAUGUGUAUGCAUUUUUGAAUAUAAAAGUUUUGUGGCGGUACUUGGCAAGCAAUUUUCUCACACUUUACUGUGGCUAUUGGUGCUGAUCUUGAACUAAAGGUAAAUGGAACAGCAUGGAUGUGGAUUUUUAGACACAAGGAAGCUGAAUUUAACUUUUAAUGAAGAAUUUAAAUGAUGAUUGUCCAUGAAAAGAAAUAUUAAUCAUAUACAUUGUAAUGCUGUAUUGAUGCAUCUUCUGUUUUAAGUAAUUAAAAAACCAUCCAUUUAUGAAAUUCUUUUCAUUUUUUUUUUCAAUUUUAAAACUGUAGUUCUGUUUUGUUAUUUGAAAACAAUGAUGAAAGUAUACUGAACUGCCAUUGAGAUAUUAAUAUAAAUGCUAUUGUUUAUAGUUUAAUUCUUUCAGAAGCAACUAUAUUGACAUCAAAACUGAAUCUUUAUUGUACACUAAGUAUAAAAGCUUACCCGCAAACCAGUCCAUGUCAACAAUUUAUUGACAUUCAAACAUUAAAUUUUUUUAAAGGUGAUUUUUCUUAAAUAAAACAGACUACUUUCAUAUGGGAUAAGAAACAUUUAAUUUUGAAAUUGAUUGGUUUAUUAAAUUUUAAUGGAGCUGAAACUAAAACACUGGGUACAAAUUUAUUAUUACUUUGUUUCUCAGAAAAUUGCAAAUUUUGAACAUAAGAACUGUGGGAAGUAGGCAAUGAUGUUAAAAUAUCUCUUGAAACUUGAAGAAAUUGUGGAAGGUUUAGAGAUAGAAAACAACAUUUCAGAAGAUGAUGUUUGAAAUAAUGGUAAAAUAUCUUUAGCAAUUGUCACUGAAUAAAUAUUUUCAUUAGACAAAUCACAUUUAGAUAUAGAAGAAUAAGGUAUGUCUUCAGAUUUUCUUAUCAGCGAAGAUCCUGGGUGAUUCUCUUUGUUACCAUCAGUCAAACGACAAGCCAAUUCUGGAAAAUUCAUUGGGUUCUUUGCCUGGGCAGCUAAAUAUAUUUAAAUUAAGUUCAUGCAAGGCUUUAGAAACAUCAAUUGGAUAAAACUCUAUAAUUUCAUUAACUU